AUGUGGCCGUCGUCGCUGCUGUACCCGCCGCCGGCGUCGGCCUUCGUGACGGCGGUGUCGGUGGUGUCGUUCGCGUCGCUGGCGUCCGCAGGCCUCUCCGAGCUCCGCGGCCAGCACAUGGCCUACUCCAAGUUCUGGCACGUCGUGUCUGGACAGCAGCAGAAGAAGGGAGGCACCGGUGGCGCGCAGCUGUCGGGCCGUGACGGGAUGCUGGUGGCCUACGCGCCGGCGCUAGUCGCCGCCGCGGCAUCUUUCGUCGUGCCGGGUACCGUGGAAGGGCUGCGCGCCGAGCUCCUCGCUGCCGCGCUCGCCGUCCACUUCCUCAAGCGUGUCUUCGAGGUACUCUUCAUCCACCGCUACAGUGGGAACAUGCCACUCAACACGGCGCUCACCAUCUCCUCUAGCUACCUGCUCAGCGCCAUCACCAUGAUCUACGCGCAGCACCUCACCGUCGGACUCCCUGACCCUACAACGGACCUCCUCUCGCAACUCAGGAAGGGAGGUGACGACGAUACGGGGUACAAGAUCCCCAAAGACGGGCUCUUCGAGUUCGUCACCUGCCCGCACUACCUCUUCGAGAUCACCGGAUUCUUCGGGUUCGCGAUGAUCUCGCAGACGGUUUAUGCGCUCGCCAUGGCCUUCGGCACGGCAGCCUACCUCGUCAGCCGAAGCUUCGCCACCCGGAGAUGGUACGAAUCUAAGUUCGAGGAAUUCCCGGCGAGCAUCAAGGCUCUGGUGCCCUAUAUCUUGUAG
rnacentral:rRNA from 1 species